AUAGUAUUGUGUUUUUUUUUUUUUGCCAACGAAAUAAUAAUCUCAUUUGGAGAAGUGGUUAGUUUUGACGUUUUGUAUCAGAAUCCACACUUGGUUUUCCCGAAUUUGGAGAAUCAACUCACCAAUCUGUCAUGAUAUUCAGAGCGCCAGAAUUUGUGAAGGUCGGAAUGAAAGACCCAACCUUUACAACCAGAACCGGUCAAGAUACUCAAGUUCAGUCAGUGAUCCAAGCUCUUGAGGUAAGCCACCAGAGAGUUGGUUGUCUUUCAGUAUAAGCUUCCCUAACGAAGUGAGCCUUCCAAGUUCCACAGGGAUGUUUCCCACCAAGUGAUUUGAAGAAAGAUUAAGCAACUGCAGAUGAGUCAAGUUUCCAAUCUCAGGUGGAAUGGUACCAGUAAUAUUGUUUCCUGCAAUCUCAAGAUUUGUUAGCUUCAGAGACCUACCCCAUUUCGGUGAAAGUUCUCCGUAAAAUUUAUUGUCGCUUAGAUUUAUGUAAUCCAAGUUUGGAUAUUCACCAAAAUCUUCAGAUAUGUUUCCAGUGAGUUGGUUUCUAUCAAGGCGGACUCUGUAUAAUGUUCUGCAGUUUUUCAGGCUUUUGGGGAUUGGACCUAUCAGACGAUUGCUAUUUGCAGUGAAAUUAGUAAGACGCCCACCUUGACAGAGAUUUGGAGGCAAAUGACCAGUCAAAUUGUUUCUGGCAAUUCUUAGCACAACCAGAUUCUUGAGAUUCCCUAACACAUGAGGAAUGGAGCCGGAGACUUGGUUGUCCCGAAUGUAUAGAACCUCUAACUUGCUUAAAUUACCAAUUGACAACGGAAGAGGACCAGUGAGGCGAUUUUCUAUGAGACUAAGAACAAGAAGAGAUUUAAGCUGACCUAUUUCUUGAGGAAUUGACCCAUUCAACUGAUUUUUAUUGAGCUUUAGGGUAUGAAGGUUUAUCAGGAAACCAAUUUCUUGUGGGAUUCUCCCGGACAACUGAUUAUUGGAGAGAUCAAGAUACAUGAGUUUGGAGAGAGAACUGAUGUGUGGUGGGAUGACACCGAGUAGCUUAUUUAUGCUGAGGUCAAUAUAUUCUAGAUUUGGGAAGGAUGAGAAUGAAAAUUCAUGUAGUGUACCUUGUAUACCGGAAUUGGUAAGGUUUAUUCUGCUGAUACUUCCAGCAGCAUUGCAUGAAAUACCAGUCCAAAAACACGGGCCUGCAUUUGCUGUUUGAUCUCUGGAAGAAUUGGUGGCAAUGGGAAGGUAAGUCCAUGAGGUUAGAAUAUCUGGUUGGGUUUGAUUUUGAAAGCUGGCUUUCCAUUUUAGAAGAGCAUUGGUUUCUGCAGAAGCAGAAGCAGAAGCAAAUUUCGGUGAUGAAAUCAAAUGAACAUACAGGAUAAGGCAAGCUACAGAGCAUACCUUAUCAUAAGCUGCUGAAGUUCUCAUGGCUUUUCUUUUGGUAUAUUGUGGUCUCUGUGCUUCAUUUGUAAUGCCAUUAUACUAUUCUGCCUUGUAUCAAGAUUGAAAUCGGAAGAAGGUGAACUGAAGACUUUGAAGAUAUGAAUGCACACUUCAGUCAAAGUCUUCCGGGGAUAUUUGUCUUCUUUGUCUUAUUAAGAAAACGAUGGAGCCUAUUUACCCCAAGUUCCCUACGGGGGAACAGGUGGAGUGCUUCGUUAUAAGCAAGGACAGUUUGUUGCGGCCUUUGUUCACAGAGUGGAUUAUAUCAGUUCUCCUCUCCAUGCCGAGCUGCUGGCUGUG